UGGCAGUGCACCCUUUGCUCCUUCAGCUGC
rnacentral:piRNA from 1 species